rnacentral:lncRNA from 1 species
GGAGUUUAAUUUUUCAAUUGUGAAAAGAAGUUUUUCCUUGUUUUUCAGUUAUAACAAGUCUUUUACUUAAAAACUACUGUAGUAUAGUAUAUCCGUGAUUUUCAGUUCAAGUCUUUUCCUGACUUCAUCUUCAAUAUAAUGUUUAGCUGCAAAUUGGAGAAAAAAGCUUGUUGCUUCCAUAUGAAGGAACAUGCUCAUAAGGUUGCUAAUGAUACCAUGAUGAUGGAGUUUGUCAAGUGUGAAAAGAUGUUUCUUUUUCCUGUACGUUUUUCAAUUACAACAAGUCUUUCGUGAUUUCAUCUUCUAUAUAAUGUUUAGCUCCAAAUUGGAGAAAAGAGCUUGUUGCUUCCAUACGAAGGAACAUGCUCAUCAAGUUGCUCUUGUAUCAUGAUGAUGGAGUUUGUCAAGUGUGAAAAGUACAAGUCUUUUACUUGUAAGCUAGUAUGAUACAUGUGUAAUACUCAGAUUAUAUUAGAAGAAACUCGCACAAUGCAU